rnacentral:tRNA from 1 species
GAUAAAGCCCCUAGCGCUGAACCUAAGUUAACUGAGUUUUUCUCUUUCUAUUGCCAUAAUUGCUUUAAUAUGGAAAC